UUACGGCCAUAUGAAGUUGAAACACCAGUUCCUUUACGAUCACCGAAGGUAAGCAACGUCAAGUCUUGUCCGUACCUAGAUGGGUGACCACUUGGGAAUACCAGUUGCUGUAA